rnacentral:miRNA from 1 species
UGAGGAAUCCUGAUCUCUCGCC